AGGGUUUGAUCAUGGCUCCAGAUUGAACGCUGGCGGGAUGCUUUACACAUGCAAGUCGAACGGCAGCACGGACUUCGGUCUGGUGGCGAGUGGCGAACGGGUGAGUAAUGUAUCGGAACGUGCCUAGUAGCGGGGGAUAACUACGCGAAAGCGUAGCUAAUACCACAUACGCCCUUCGAGGGAAAAGCGGGGGACCUUCCGGGCCUCGCACUAUUAAACGGCCGAUAUCGGAUUAGCUAGUUGGUGGGGUGGCUGCAAGGCGACGAUCCGUAGCUGGUUUGAGAGGACGACCAGCCACACUGGGACUGAGACACGGCCCAGACUCCUACGGGGCAGCAGUGGGGAAUUUUUGGACAAUGGAAACCCUGAUCCAGCAGCCAUCCCGCGUGUGCGAUGAAGGCCUUCGGGUUGCUUAAGCACUUUUGGCAGGAAAGAAACGGGCGCGGGAUAAUACCCCGUGCAACUGACGGUACCUGCGAAUAAGCACCGGCUAACUACGAAAUUGCUUGUGCGGUAAUACGUAGGGUGCAAGCGUUAAUCAGAUUACUGGAAAAAUGGCGUGCGAGCGGUUGGAAAAGAUGUGAAAUCCAGAGCUUAACUUUAGACUACAUUUUUUAACUACCGAGCUAGAGUGUGUCAGAGGAGGUGGAAUUCCCGCGUGUAGCAGUGAAAUGCGUAGAUAUGCGGAGGAACACCGAUGGCGAAGACGGCCUCCUGGGAUAACACUGACGCUCAUGCACGAAAGCGUGGGAGUAAACAGGAUUAGAUACCCUGGUAGUCCACGCCUAAACGAUGCUCAACUAGCUGUUGGGGCCUUCGGGCCUUGUUGUACAACGCGUGAAGUUGACCGCCUGGGAAGUACGGUCACUAAGAUUAAAACUCAAAGGAAUUGACGGGGACCCGCACAAGCGGUGGAUGAUGUGGAUUAAUUCGAUGCAACGCGAAAAACCUUACCUACCUCCGACAUGUCACAGAUCCCCGAAGGGGAUUUGGGAGUGCUCAUAGAAGAACAGACUGGGUGCUGCAUGGCUGUCGUCAGCUCGUGUCGUGAGAUGUUGGGUUAAGUCCCGCAACGAGCGCAACCCUUGUCAUUAGUUGCUACGAAAGGGCACUCUAAUGAGACUGCGGUGACAAACCGGAGGAAGGUGAGGAUGACUUCAAGUCCUCAUAGCCCUUAUGGGUAGGGCUUCACACGUCAUACAAUGGUCAGGUACAGAGGGUCGCCAACCCGCGAGGGGAGCCAAUCCCAGAAACCGUCAUGGUCCGGAUGCCAGUCUGCAACUCGACGUGAAGUCGGAAUCGCUAGUAAUCGCGGAUCAGCAUGUCGCGGUGAAUACGUUCUCCCGGGUCUUGUACACACCGCCGUCACACCAUGGGAGUGGGUUUUACCAGAAGUAGUUAGCCUAACCGUAAAGGGAGGGCGAUUACCACGGUAGGAUUCAUGACUGGGGUGAAGUCGUAAUAAGGUAG
rnacentral:rRNA from 1 species